ACAACAGUUGGAAACGACUGCUAAUACCGCAUAAUGUCAUCGGGCGGCAUCGCCUGAUGACCAAAGNUUUAUUGCUGAAGAUGGCCUCGCGUCUGAUUAGCUAGUUGGUGAGGUAACGGCUCACCAAGGCGACGAUCAGUAGCCGGUCUGAGAGGAUGAACGGCCACAUUGGGACUGAGAUACGGCCCAGACUCCUACGGGAGGCAGCAGUGGGGAAUAUUGGGCAAUGGGGGAAACCCUGACCCAGCAACGCCGCGCGAAGGAAGAAGGCCUUCGGGUUGUAAACUCCUUUUAGCAGGGACGAAGAACGUGACGGUACCUGCAGAAAAAGCAACGGCUAACUACGUG
rnacentral:rRNA from 1 species